GAACUGCGCACGGGGAGAAAUGGCAGUUGUAACUGCACAGCUCACUGCCCGAGGGCUCUGCUUCAGCAAACCACACUGUCAACAGAUGACUUCCCUUGGGUCCUCAGUUUUGAAAAGGGCAAAAAACUCCACUUUUUUUUUUAAGCAAAGGGCAAGAAGUUUAUCUGGGCUGUUUGCUUACACCCUUGUCAAACCUAAGAAGCCUGAAAAUCAGCUGACUAGCGGGCAGAAAAGGGCCACCGGCUCCUAGAAGCCGUAACCACGGGAAGGCGCUUUCUCUAAAGGACCGCGGUUAAAAUCCUUCGGUAGUCGCAUUCGUUCCUUGCCGUCGCUCAGUACCCAGCCAGAGCGGUCUCCACCGUGGCGCUGGGGCCGCUGCGGCAUCAGGGAUUUGAGAGAUCCAGAGCCCGCCCGCCGCACAAACCCACGCCUGCACGGCAGCCGCCGCCCCCUAGGCCGCGCCCCCCGUCAGCCCCUGCGGCGGGAAGCCCCGCCCCCCGCCCGAGCCAAUCACAAAGGGAGUGCGCGCAGGGGAGGGCUCUGUCUCCCCUGUGCCUGGCCCGGUCACGGCGAGACCGACUCCGUAGACUGGGUGGAGGGACAGGUGGACAAUUCAGUUUAAACCCCGAGAAGCUGCCCUAGAAGGCCGGCGGGAACAGCUGGUACCUGCUUUAGCGUCAGCGUCGCUGGGGACCCAACGCUGCUGGAAGAUUUAACUGCCUGCUCUCCAUACAGCGUUUUGGCCAAUGAAAUGUGAGUGGAACAGACAUGUCAUUUUGGAGCAAAAUCUUUAUGAGCCAUUGUUUGUUUCUACCGACUUGCUUGUUUUUCUCUGCCAAUAGGCCAGUAUGUUGCAGCUCACCCUCCAUGGACAUGAACACAGUGAGAAAUAAACCCUCACUGUAGUAAGCCACUUGAAUCUUGGGGCCGUUGGCAUAGUAUGCACUAGUGACGGCUGGCUGAUCCAGCACAUAAGAUCACCCUCCUAGCACACCUUUUACAUUCCUCUGUUGCAUUCCAUCAAGAAUGGUCAAAAAUUACAUCAAUGGUGGGAAAUUUUUUUUAAUAGUUCUUAGAAUAUAAGCUGCAUAGCUUUUUAGAAUAAAAAAGGAUGACGUGACAGAACCUCAGGUACAUGCUUUAGGACACUUGGUUAAGUAACAAGCAGUCUGUGUCUUUGAUGACCACCUCAAAAGGGUGGCAAACUUCACAGUGUAACUUGAUAACAGAUGUGGAGACAGACAAUUACAUCAUGGCCUGUGGUCUACAAAAGAACAUUCUGACAGAACUUAAAGAGAACACAGCACACGGUUUCAAGUAUUCAAGCACUGCUUUCUGGGAAAGUAAAAACUACCUAAAAACCAUUGAUGUAUUUUGACUGGACGAAAAAUAAAACAGAUGUAGCUACUUAGUUCUUUUGGACACAGCAUUUCUUUCCCAGAGUAAGACUGGCUCAGUCCAGCUUGAAAGCAGUGUGAAGAAUGAUUCUUCCUCUUAACUGUUAAGAAAAA